rnacentral:rRNA from 1 species
AGUGAACGCUGGCGGUAGGCCUAACACAUGCAAGUCGAACGGCAGCACAGUAAGAGCUUGCUCUUACGGGUGGCGAGUGGCGGACGGGUGAGGAAUACAUCGGAAUCUACUUUUUCGUGGGGGAUAACGUAGGGAAACUUACGCUAAUACCGCAUACGACCUACGGGUGAAAGCAGGGGAUCUUCGGACCUUUCGCGAUUGAAUGAGCCGAUGUCGGAUUAGCUAGUUGGCGGGGUAAAGGCCCACCAAGGCGACGAUCCGUAGCUGGUCUGAGAGGAUGAUCAGCCACACUGGAACUGAGACACGGUCCAGACUCCUACGGGAGGCAGAAGUGGGGAAUAUUGGACAAUGGGCGCAAGCCUGAUCCAGCCAUACCGCGUGGGUGAAGAAGGCCUUCGGGUUGUAAAGCCCUUUUGUUGGGAAAGAAAAGCAGCAGGUUAAUACCCCGCUGUUCUGACGGUACCCAAAGAAUAAGCACCGGCUAACUUCGUG